rnacentral:rRNA from 1 species
UGCCCAACGGGUAUGCCUUACUACGGCGAGUGAAGCGGCAAAAGCUCAAAUUUGAAAUCUGGCGUCUUCGACGUCCGAGUUGUAAUUUGAAGAAGGCGACUUUGUAGCUGGUCCUUGUCUAUGUUCCUUGGAACAGGACGUCAUAGAGGGUGAGAAUCCCGUGUGGCGAGGAUCCCAGUUAUUUGUAAAGUGCUUUCGACGAGUCGAGUUGUUUGGGAAUGCAGCUCUAAGUGGGUGGUAAAUUCCAUCUAAAGCUAAAUAUUGGCGAGAGACCGAUAGCGAACAAGUACAGUGAUGGAAAGAUGAAAAGAACUUUGAAAAGAGAGUGAAAAAGUACGUGAAAUUGUUGAAAGGGAAGGGCAUUUGAUCAGACAUGGCGUUUGCUUCGGCUUUCGCUGGGCCAGCAUCAGUUUUAGCGGUUGGAUAAAUCCUCGGGAAUGUGGCUCUGCUUCGGUAGAGUGUUAUAGCCCGUGGGAAUACAGCCAGCUGGGACUGAGGAUUGCGACUUUUGUCAAGGAUGCUGGCGUAAUGGUUAAAUGCCGCCCGUCUUGACCCCCCGGACCA